rnacentral:tRNA from 1 species
GAACGCAUGGGUAAGUGGUCAGAGCGCUUGGACGAUUUCCAAGAGGCGCGGGUUCAAGUCUCGCUACGUUCA